rnacentral:sRNA from 1 species
GUCGGCUCCGUCAUUGGCGCCGGAAUAUUCGUCCUCACCGGAUUGGAGGCUAGGAACGCCGCCGGUCCCGCCGUCAUCUUGUCGUACGUCGUGUCCGGUUUCUCCGCCAUGCUGUCCGUUUUCUGUUACACCGAGUUUGCCGUCGAAAUCCCUGUUGCCGGUGGUUCAUUUGCCUACUUAAGAGUGGAGCUAGGAGACUUUGUAGCCUUCGUAGCUGCAGGAAACAUCCUUCUUGAGUACGUGAUAAGUUGUGCCGCAGUAGCAAGGUCAUGGACCUCAUACUUCGCCACCCUCUGCAACAAAAACCCUGAUGAUUUUCGCAUAGUCAUGCAUAACAUGAACCCUGAUUAUGGCCACCUUGACCCUAUAGCUGUCGUGAUCCUUGCACUCGUAUGCAUCCUUGCGGUUUGCAGCACCAAAGGCUCUUCAAUCUUCAACUACGUUGCCUCAGUCGUACACACAGUCAUCCUUGUCUUCAUAGUCAUAGCAGGUCUUAUCCAUGCCAAGCCUCAAAACUACGUACCCUUUACACCCUUCGGUGUUAGGGGCGUCUUCCAAGCUUCAGCUGUGCUCUACUUUGCUUAUGUCGGGUUCGAUGCUGUUGCAAC